AUUGAACGCUGGCGGCAGGCCUAACACAUGCAAGUCGAGCGGAUGAAGGGAGCUUGCUCCUGGAUUCAGCGGCGGACGGGUGAGUAAUGCCUAGGAAUCUGCCUGUUAGUGGGGGAUAACGUCCGGAAACGGGCGCUAAUACCGCAUACGUCCUGAGGGGGAAAGUGGGGGAUCUUCGGACCUCACGCUAUCAGAUGAGCCUAGGUCGGAUUAGCUAGUUGGUGGGGUAAAGGCCUACCAAGGCGACGAUCCGUAACUGGUCUGAGAGGAUGAUCAGUCACACUGGAACUGAGACACGGUCCAGACUCCUACGGGAGGCAGCAGUGGGGAAUAUUGGACAAUGGGCGAAAGCCUGAUCCAGCCAUGCCGCGUGUGUGAAGAAGGUCUUCGGAUUGUAAAGCACUUUAAGUUGGGAGGAAGGGCAGUAAGUUAAUACCUUGCUGUUUUGACGUUACCAACAGAAUAAGCACCGGCUAACUUCGUG
rnacentral:rRNA from 1 species